CAAAACUAAAUGGAAUCAAAUCAAGAACGUUGUCAUAAAUUCGACUUUUUUAAAGGUGUUCAACGCGACAAACUUCUUCACGAAAUUCAUCGUUAUUUUUCACAAGAC
rnacentral:lncRNA from 1 species